rnacentral:rRNA from 1 species
UGCCAGCCGCCGCGGUAAUACGGAGAUGGCAAGCGUUGUUCGGAAUCACUGGGCAUAAAGGGCACGUAGGCGGCUUGAUAAGUCAGGUGUGAAAUCCCUCGGCUCAACCGAGGAACUGCGCCUGAAACUGUCUCGCUUGAGGGCAGGAGGGGAGAGUGGAACUCUUGGUGGAGCGGUGAAAUGCGUAGAUACCAAGAGGAACGCCGGUGGCGAAAGCGACUCUCUGGCCUGUUUCUGACGCUGAGGUGCGAAAGCUAGGGGAGCAAACAGGAUUAGAUA